AUUGAACGCUGGCGGCAGGCCUAACACAUGCAAGUCGAGCGGAUGAAGGGAGCUUGCUCCUGGAUUCAGCGGCGGACGGGUGAGUAAUGCCUAGGAAUCUGCCUGGUAGUGGGGGAUAACGUCCGGAAACGGGCGCUAAUACCGCAUACGUCCUGAGGGAGAAAGUGGGGGAUCUUCGGACCUCACGCUAUCAGAUGAGCCUAGGUCGGAUUAGCUAGUUGGUGGGGUAAAGGCCUACCAAGGCGACGAUCCGUAACUGGUCUGAGAGGACGAUCAGUCACACUGGAACUGAGACACGGUCCAGACUCCUACGGGAGGCAGCAGUGGGGAAUAUUGGACAAUGGGCGAAAGCCUGAUCCAGCCAUGCCGCGUGUGUGAAGAAGGUCUUCGGAUUGUAAAGCACUUUAAGUUGGGAGGAAGGGCAGUAAGUUAAUACCUUGCUGUUUUGACGUUACCAACAGAAUAGGCACCGGCUAACUUCGUG
rnacentral:rRNA from 1 species